rnacentral:rRNA from 1 species
GACGAACGCUGGCGGCGUGCUUAACACAUGCAAGUCGAACGACGACGCACUAGCUUGCUGGUGUGGCUUAGUGGCGAACGGGUGAGUAACACGUGAGUAACCUGCCCCUCACUUUGGGAUAAGCCUGGGAAACUGGGCCUAAUACUGUAUACGACCGAUCCCCGCAUGGAGAGCUGGUGGACAGCUUAUGUGGUGGGGGAUGGACUCGCGGUCUAUCAGCUUGUUGGUGGAGUAGUGGCCUACCAAGGCGACGACGGGUAGUCGGCCUGAGAGGGCGACCGCGCACACUAGGACUGAGAGACGGCGCAGACUCCUACGGGAGGCAGCAGUGGGGAGUAUGGCACAAUGAGCGAGAGCCUGAGGCGGCGGCGCCGGGUGUGGAAUGACGGCCUUCGGGGUGUGAACCUCUUUCGCCAAAGACGAAGCUAACGUGACGGUACCUGAAGAAGAAGCACCGGCUAACUACGUG